GACGUAGGGGGCGAGCGUUGUCCGGAUUUAUUGGGCGUAAAGCGUGCGUAGGCGGCUGCGCAAGUCGGGUGUGAAACCCCGGGGCUCAACCCCGGAACUGCAUCCGAUACUGCGUGGCUAGAGGUAGGUAGGGGAGAUCGGAAUUCCUGGUGUAGCGGUGAAAUGCGCAGAUAUCAGGAGGAACACCGGUGGCGAAGGCGGGUCUCUGGGCCGAUACUGACGCUGAGGAGCGAAAGCGUGGGGAGCGAACAGG
rnacentral:rRNA from 1 species